rnacentral:rRNA from 1 species
AGAGUUUGAUCAUGGCUCAGAUUGAACGCUGGCGGCAGGCCUAACACAUGCAAGUCGAACGGUAACAGGAAACAGCUUGCUGUUUCGCUGACGAGUGGCGGACGGGGGAGUAAUGUCUGGGAAACUGCCUGAUGGAGGGGGAUAACUACUGGAAACGGUAGCUAAUACCGCAUAACGUCGCAAGACCAAAGAGGGGGACCUUCGGGCCUCUUGCCAUCGGAUGUGCCCAGAUGGGAUUAGCUUGUUGGUGGGGUAACGGCUCACCAAGGCGACGAUCCCUAGCUGGUCUGAGAGGAUGACCAGCCACACUGGAACUGAGACACGGUCCAGACUCCUACGGGAGGCAGCAGUGGGGAAUAUUGCACAAUGGGCGCAAGCCUGAUGCAGCCAUGCCGCGUGUAUGAAGAAGGCCUUCGGGUUGUAAAGUACUUUCAGCGGGGAGGAAGGGAGUAAAGUUAAUACCUUUGCUCAUUGACGUUACCCGCAGAAGAAGCACCGGCUAACUCCGUGCCAGCAGCCGCGGUAAUACGGAGGGUGCAAGCGUUAAUCGGAAUUACUGGGCGUAAAGCGCACGCAGGCGGUUUGUUAAGUCAGAUGUGAAAUCCCCGGGCUCAACCUGGGAACUGCAUCUGAUACUGGCAAGCUUGAGUCUCGUAGAGGGGGGUAGAAUUCCAGGUGUAGCGGUGAAAUGCGUAGAGAUCUGGAGGAAUACCGGUGGCGAAGGCGGCCCCCUGGACGAAGACUGACGCUCAGGUGCGAAAGCGUGGGGAGCAAACAGGAUUAGAUACCCUGGUAGUCCACGCCGUAAACGAUGUCGACUUGGAGGUUGUGCCCUUGAGGCGUGGCUUCCGGAGCUAACGCGUUAAGUCGACCGCCUGGGGAGUACGGCCGCAAGGUUAAAACUCAAAUGAAUUGACGGGGGCCCGCACAAGCGGUGGAGCAUGUGGUUUAAUUCGAUGCAACGCGAAGAACCUUACCUGGUCUUGACAUCCACGGAAGUUUUCAGAGAUGGAUUGGUGCCUUCGGGAACCGUGAGACAGGUGCUGCAUGGCUGUCGUCAGCUCGUGUUGUGAAAUGUUGGGUUAAGUCCCGCAACGAGCGCAACCCUUAUCCUUUGUUGCCAGCGGUCCGGCCGGGAACUCAAAGGAGACUGCCAGUGAUAAACUGGAGGAAGGUGGGGAUGACGUCAAGUCAUCAUGGCCCUUACGACCAGGGCUACACACGUGCUACAAUGGCGCAUACAAAGAGAAGCGACCUCGCGAGAGCAAGCGGACCUCAUAAAGUGCGUCGUAGUCCGGAUUGGAGUCUGCAACUCGACUCCAUGAAGUCGGAAUCGCUAGUAAUCGUGGAUCAGAAUGCCACGGUGAAUACGUUCCCGGGCCUUGUACACACCGCCCGUCACACCAUGGGAGUGGGUUGCAAAAGAAGUAGGUAGCUUAACCUUCGGGAGGGCGCUUACCACUUUGUGAUUCAUGACUGGGGUGAAGUCGUAACAAGGUAACCGUAGGGGAACCUGCGGUUGGAUCACCU